GCAAGUCGAGGGGCAGCACUAGGUAGUAAUACUGGAGGUGGCGACCGGCGCACGGGUGCGUAACGCGUAUCCAACCUUCCCCGAUACCUCUUGGAUAGCCUUCCGAAAGGGAGAUUAAUACAAGAUGGUGUUUCAAUUCCGCAUGUUAUUGAAACUAAAGAUUUAAUCGGUAUCGGAUGGGGAUGCGUAGGAUUAGGUAGUAGGCGGGGUAACGGCCCACCUAGCCGACGAUCCUUAGGGGUUCUGAGAGGAAGGUCCCCCACACUGGUACUGAGACCACGGACCAGACUCCUACGGGAGGCAGCAGUGAGGGAAUAUUGGUCAAUGGGCGAGAGCCUGAACCAGCCAAGUAGCGUGAAGGAGGACUGCCCUAUGGGUUGUAAACUUCUUUGUUCGGGAAUAAAGUGCAGUACGCGUACUGUUUUGUAUAUACCGUUCGAAUAAGCAUCGGCUAAUUCCGUG
rnacentral:rRNA from 1 species